rnacentral:rRNA from 1 species
AACGUAGGAGGCAAGCGUUAUCCGGAGUUACUGGGCGUAAAGCGCACGUAGGCGGCUUUCUAAGUCAGGGGUGAAAUCCUGGAGCUCAACUCCAGAACUGCCUUUGAUACUGGAGAGCUUGAGUCCGGAAGAGGUGAGUGGAACUCCGAGUGUAGAGGUGAAAUUCGUAGAUAUUCGGAAGAACACCAGUGGCGAAGGCGGCUCACUGGUCCGGUACUGACGCUGAGGCGCGAAAGCGUGGGGAGCGAACAGG